rnacentral:ncRNA from 2 species
GGGGAAUCCGGUGCAAACCCGGAGCUAGCCCGUAACUGUGAGUCGCCACGCCCGCACGGGACGGCGACGAGCCAGGAUACCC